CCUACGGGAGGCAGCAGUGGGGAAUAUUGCACAAUGGGCGAAAGCCUGAUGCAGCGACGCCGCGUGAGGGAUGACGGCCUUCGGGUUGUAAACCUCUUUCAGUAGGGAAGAAGCGAAAGUGACGGUACCUGCAGAAGAAGCGCCGGCUAACUACGUGCCAGUAGCCGCGGUAAUACGUAGGGCGCAAGCGUUAUCCGGAAUUAUUGGGCGUAAAGAGCUCGUAGGCGGUUUGUCGCGUCUGCCGUGAAAGUCCGGGGCUCAACUCCGGAUCUGCGGUGGGUACGGGCAGACUAGAGUGAUGUAGGGGAGACUGGAAUUCCUGGUGUAGCGGUGAAAUGCGCAGAUAUCAGGAGGAACACCGAUGGCGAAGGCAGGUCUCUGGGCAUUAACUGACGCUGAGGAGCGAAAGCAUGGGGAGCGAACAGGAUUAGAUACCCUGGUAGUCCAUGCCGUAAACGUUGGGCACUAGGUGUGGGGGACAUUCCACGUUUUCCGCGCCGUAGCUAACGCAUUAAGUGCCCCGCCUGGGGAGUACGGCCGCAAGGCUAAAACUCAAAUGAAUUGACGG
rnacentral:rRNA from 1 species